rnacentral:rRNA from 1 species
UACGUAGGGUGCGAGCGUUAAUCGGAAUUACUGGGCGUAAAGCGUGCGCAGGCGGUUUUCCAAGACAGAUGUGAAAUCCCCGGGCUCAACCUGGGAAUGGCAUUUGUGACUGGAAGGCUAGAGUGUGUCAGAGGGGGGUAGAAUUCCACGUGUAGCAGUGAAAUGCGUAGAGAUGUGGAGGAACACCGAUGGCGAAGGCAGCCCCCCUGGGUCAAGAUUGACGCUCAUGCACGAAAGCGUGGGGAGCAAACAGG